GGGGGAGAGAGAGAGAGAGAGAGAUAGUUUGUGACAUUCAGAUAUCACACCAACACUGUUUGUGAUCGUCAGAUAUCACACCAACACUGUUUGUGAUCGUCAGAUAUCACGCCAUCACUGUUUGUGAUUGUCAGAUAUCACGCCAACACUGUUUGUGAUCGUCAGAUAUCACACCAACACUGUUUGUGACAUUCAGAUAUCACGCCAACACUGUUUGUGAUCGUCAGAUAUCACACCAACACUGUUUGUGAUCGUCAGAUAUCACGCCAACACUGUUUGUGAUCGUCAGAUAUCAUGCCAUCACUGUUCGUGACAUUCAGAUAUCACACCAUCACUGUUUGUGAUCGUCAGAUAUCACGCCAUCACUGUUUGUGACAUUCAGAUAUCACCCCAUCACUGUUUGUGAUUGUCAGAUAUCACGCCAUCACUGUUUGUGAUUGUCAGAUAUCACACCAUCACUGAUUGUGAUCGUCAGAUAUCACACCAACACUGUUCGUGAUCGUCAGAUAUCACACCAACACUGUUUGUAGUUGGAGUUAUAGACAAUACACAACAGACAACAGGUGCAGGAGUAGAGGCCAUUCGGCCCUUCGAGCCUGCACCAUUCGCCAUUCAAUAUGAUCAUGGCUGAUCAUCCAACUCAGUAUCCCGUACCUGCCUUCUCUCCAUACCCCCUGAUCCCUUUAGCCACAAGGGCCACAUCUAACUCCCUCUUAAAUAUAGCCAAUGAACUGUGUGGCCUCAACUACCCUCUGCGGCAGAGAAUUCCACAGAUUCACCACUCUCUGCGUGAAAAAAGUUCUUCUCAUCUCGGUUUUAAAGGAUUUCCCCCUUCUUCCAAAUGGCCUAAAUCACUCAAGACUUUGGAAAUCCUCUUCAUUAUGCACAACACCCCCUAUCUUGGUAUCAUCUGCAUACUUACUAAUCCAAUUUACCACACCUUCAUCCAGAUCAUUGAUGUACAUGCCAAACAACAAACGACCCAACACAGAUCCCCGAGGCACCCCACUAGUCACCUGCCUCCAACCUGACAAACAGCCCUCCACCAUUACCCUCUGGCAUCUCCCAUUCAGCCACUGUUGAAUCCAUCUUGCUACUCCUGCAUUUAUACCCAACAGUUGAACCCCCUUAACCAACCUUCCAUGACGAACCUUGUCAAAGGCCUUACUAAAGUCCAUAUAGACAACAUCCACUGCUUUACCCUCGUCAAUUUCCCUAGUAACCUCUUCAAAAAAUUCAAGAAGAUUAGUCAAACAUGACCUUCCAGGCACAAAUCCAUGUUGACUGUUCCUAAUCAGACCCUGUUUAUCCAGAUGCUUAUAUAUAUUAUCUCUAAGUAUCUUUUCCAUUAAUUUGUCCGCCACUGAAGUCAAAUUAUAGGGUCUAUAAUUGCUAGGUUUACUCUUAGAACACUUUUUAAACAAUGGAACAACAUGCACAAUACGCCAAUCCUCAGGGACUAUUCCCGUUUCUAAUGACAUUUGAAAUAUUUCUGUCAUAGCCCCGGCUAUUUCUACACUAACUUCCCUCAAUGUCCUAGGGAAUAUCCUGUCAGGACCUGGAGACUUAUCCACUUUUAUAUUUUUCAAAAGUGUCAAUACUUCUUUUACUUUGAAACUCAUAGUAUCCAUAGCUACUCUACUAGUUUCCCUUACCUCACAUCAUUCAAUAUCCUUCUCCUUGGUGAAGGGACCGAAGAAAAGAAAUGGUUCAAUAUCUCCCCCAUCUCCUUUGGCUCUGCAGAUAGCUGUCCACUCUGUCUCUCCAAUGGACCAAUUUUAUCCCUCGUUAUGCUUUUGCUAUUAAUAGCUGUAGAAACCCUUUGGAUUUACUUUCACCUUACUUGCCAAAGCAACCUCAUAUCUUUUAGGUUUUCUAAUUUCUUUCUUAAGAUUAUUUUUACAUUCCUUAUACUCCUCAAGCACCUCAUUUACUUUAUGCUCCCUAUAAUUAUUGUAGAUCUCCCUCUUUUUCCGAACAAGAUGUCCAAUUUCCCUUGAAAACCAGGGCACUUUCCAAUUUUUACUGUUUCCUUUCAACCGAACAGGAACAUAAAGAUUCUGUACUCUUAAAAUUUCCCCAUUAAAUGUCCUCCAUUUCUCUUCUACAUCUUUCCCAUAAAACAAAAUGUCCCAGUUCACUCCUUUUAAAUAACUUCACAUCUCAUUAAAGUUAGCCUUUCUCCAAUCAAAAAUCUCAACCCUAGGUCCAGUUCUGACCCUCUCCAUAAUUAUAUUGAAACUAAUGGUGUGAUCACUCGAGCCAAAGUGCUCCCCAACGCAUAUCUCCGCCACCUGUCCCGUCUCAAAAGCUUGUAUAGUCUCCGAAAAUGUCGGAUGAAUUUUGUUUGUUUGAAUGGUUCAGGAAUUGUAUAUAUUUAUCAAUGAAUAAAGUCUAUUUUGAAAUUUAAAAAAAAAAUCUGUUCUUAUCAGUUUAAUAUCUGAUACGUCCCUUAUCUAGGGACCAUAUAUUAAAUUGAUUUUUGGAACAGGGAGAUGGAAUAGGGGCUUGCUCCGUCCACUCCACGCAUCGACCCAGUAUUGCAGUGCCUCUGGGAACGGUGCACUUCCCUUUUGGGAGAUUUUCAAAGUUCAAAAGAAAAGACAAAAAUUCCUCCUCACGCUUGCUCAAAAGCUGCGUGUCUGCCUGCUGCCCUCUCUCACUCUGCGUCUGCGUGCGUGCGUGUCUGUGUUGACGGACUGCUCAAGUCAAAUGCUCAAGUCAACCUUCCUUUAUUUCACCAGUGGAUACUUUCAAGGGAAAAGAGGACGCAUUUCAACCAAAACUUCCUGAAGGAGAAAAAAAUCUUCAGCAAAUUCUUCAAAGUCACAAUUGUCGGCUCUGCCAAUCAAGUCGCCACAAUCUGGGUGAUGUUGGUCUGAAGAGAUGAGACUGAGCUGCACGUCAACCACAGCGAGUACCACACCGCUAAGAUGCUGGAUGUUUAUUCGGGCCGGGGCUACCACAACCUGGAAUUUGACAGCAAGUUCACUGUCACCGUCAACCCAAGCGGAGUGGUUAUGCUCUACGUGUAUCCAGGAGAGCAGCAGCAGCAGCCGAACAGAAAGGCCGAAGCCUACCCAGUGUUGCUGUGAAGGGGCCUCCAUCACCACGGCAACUGAAGGCCCAAAGCCUGUUGCUGUGAAGGAGCCUCCAUCACCACGGCAACAGAAGGCCCAAAGUCCACCCUCUGCUGCACUGAAGCAGCUUUAAUCGCUAUGGAGGUAUCUGGUCUUCAAUUCCACUUUGGUGUAUUAACUCUUUGAAUGCACAUUUGAUUUGCAAAUUGAGCAUAUUUCAUGCUUUUAUGAUUGGGCUUUUCAGAAGGGGUUGCUAUUCCCUUUUGCCUCUUUUGAUGGUUUAUGUUUCAUUCAGCCUUCCUGUGAUUAUGCUGCUUCUGCUGGUCAAAAGGCUGAGCAGUCAAUUUGGAAUUUCUGCACUAGAUUUCAUGGUCACUGCUGAACAGCGAAUGUUCAGACUCUCAGGUAAAAGUACUCAUCUCUAUAGGGAGGCUAUUCAGCCCAUCUUAGGUCGGACCAACCCCAAUUCCUCCAUACUCAUGUGUAGAAAGGAACUUCACAUGCUGCUUUCAACCAAAGAUAGACACAAAGCCGGCGUAACCUCUGUGGGUCAGACAGCAUCUCUGGCGGAAAGGAAUUGGUGACGUUUCAGGUCGAGACCCUUUUCAGACUGAGAGGAAGUCAGAUGAAGGGUCUCAACCUGAAACGUCAUCUAUUCCCUUUUCUCCAGAGACGCUGUCUGACCGGCUGAGGUUACUCCAGCUUUUUGUGCCUAUCCUACCGUCCAGUAAAUGGGUACAAUCAAACCCUGCACAAGUAUAACAGAUGGGGCAAAGAGCAUCAUUAACUCAGUGCAGAAAUUGGUGUUACAGCUGCAGCGAAAAGUACAGAUAAAAAAGCCACUAGACAUGAUGGCGUGAUAGCACAUUGGGCGUUUUUCACUUCACUUAAAGGGUGAUAGCUGUAAGUAUGAGGGAACAUAAUUGCUAUCCUUGAACCAUGUCUAUCCUUGAAGCUGAAGACACAGAAUGCAGGCAAUGGGUCCCUUGAACUGGUAUUGUUUGAAAGAGUUGACUGUUUGUUAACCACACAUGGAUUCUGCACAUUUUUCCAAUUCCAUUAUUUGUCUGGGAAGGAACUGCAGAUGCUGGUUUACACCACGGACAGACACAAAAUGCUGGAGUAAUUCAGCUGGUCAGGCAGCAUCUCUUGAGAAAAAGAAUGGGUGUCGUAUCAGGUCAGAACCCUUCUUCAGACUGAAGAAGGAUUCCGACCCGAAGCAUCAUCUAUUCUUUUUCUCCGGAGGUGCUGCCUGACCCGCUAAGUUACUCCAGCAUUUUGUGUCUAUCCGUGGUGUAAACCAGCAUCUGCAGUUCCUUCCCAGACAAAUAAUUUUGUGUCUACAUUUUUUUUUUAAUCCCAAGUUUCCCAAAACCUCCAGUUGAGGCUAACUCCCGUAUUACAUAAAUCUUCUCUUUACUGAACAAGACCCUGGGAUUAAUUGUGAAUUAUCCCACACCAUUGCAGCCACAUUGUGGUGGUGUUGAAAGAUUAAAUGGUGGUGGGUCGAUGGCCAAAGGGUGAGUUUACUUUGGAUAGCAAAAAUGAGCUUAUUGUUUUUAAAUCAACUUGUUGCUUCUGUGAAUUUGUAUUUUUCAAUAAAAUGUUACCAUGUUCUGUU